UUUAUCGGAGAGUUUGAUCCUGGCUCAGGACGAACGCUGGCGGCGUGCCUAAUACAUGCAAGUCGAGCGGACAGAUGGGAGCUUGCUCC
rnacentral:rRNA from 1 species